UGACUUAGCGGCGGACGGGUGAGUAACGCGUGGGUAACCUGCCUUACACUGGGGGAUAACAGUUAGAAAUGACUGCUAAUACCGCAUAAGCGCACAGGGCCGCAUGGUCUGGUGUGAAAAACUCCGGUGGUGUAAGAUGGACCCGCGUCUGAUUAGGUAGUUGGUGGGUAACGGCCCACCAAGCCGACGAUCAGUAGCCGACCUGAGAGGGUGACCGGCCACAUUGGGACUGAGACACGGCCCAAACUCCUACGGGAGGCAGCAUG
rnacentral:rRNA from 1 species